rnacentral:lncRNA from 1 species
GGGGGAGGGUGUGAUGUCCUGGACUGAGAAAACCCAAAACGAUGGCUGGGACAGCAGUGCUUGGGCAGAAUUCGAGAGCUUUGGAUGCGCACACAGUGGCUAUCAUCCCUGGACACAUUGAUGAAAGGAAAGUGUUAGGUCUUUCUUUCUUGACUUCUCGACUCACUGACCAAACUUUUUGUGACGAGGUUUGAAGUUCUGGAGAGCAAGGACGAGCUUGAUCUCAUUGGACAACAACCACCAGAACCGCUGCGGCAGUUUAACCAGCGCUUUCAGUCUUAUAUUCGUAAAUUCGUCCUGUGUGGCGACUUGAUACGGCUGUGCAUCACUUUGCCAAGUUCCAGCCUUCUUGGAUUGGUCCUUAUCAGGUACUUUCUCGUGCUGGCACUAAUUCGUAUUGGCUAGCAGAGUUGACGGGCAGGAAACCACCGAAGCCAAUCAAUGGAGUUGAUCUCAAACGGUAUUUCUUUUGACUGGUACAGUUCACGUUUCGUUUCUAUUCUUUUAAUGCUGUGAGUGUCUUUGCGAGAACUGUUUUGUUACUCACAGGCCCGAACCUGAUUCGGGAGCAGGACACUGUCUCCUGGGAUAAGUUCUGUCCCAUUCGCGAUGCGGAGACAGCUUGUUGAGGGGCACGAUCCUGUGGUACGUAAUGCUUCUCUCUCCCCUGUCUCUUGAGGUUUCCGAUCGUCACAGUUCUGAGGUGCAUUCUUUGUCUCAAAUCGCUGAGAAUGUUAAUCUGCAUUUCCUUGCUUUCUGUCAUAACUGUUACAUUUGAACUGCUUUCUAUGUUUUCUUGUUCCGUGGUCUCGUUCGUCUAGUUGUGGCCUGUCGUUAACAAUCUUUCACUGGGGAUGGCCAAAGCGCUUGGUCUCUCUGGCGUUGGAAAGUUUCAUGGCGGUUGGUUCUCGUUGACAGUUGGCCAAGUCGCUUGGUCCUUUCGGCUUGUCAAUCGACUGCCUAUGACGGGCUGCUUCAAGGAUGGAUGAGACACGGGAAAAUUUGUGUGAUGCCUUUCUGUGCUUAUUGUCUUUCUUUCAUACCAUUGCCUCGGAGCUUGAACAUCGAUGCUACCUCAGAAUCUUUGACUUUGGACCUUCAAUCAUCUCGAAAGGGAAACUGAUUGCGGUGCUCCUGGCUCAUGUGGAGUGGUGCCCCACUUGAGUACCUUGUGGCUCAUUGGUCCUCGCCCUUCCUAGGGGCUUGGGCCUUCCCUUCGGGAUGGAAGUGGGGGGUAGAGAUACCCAUACCGAGCCGUUAGGCCACAGUGUUUCACCCCAACGUCCCGAAGCAAGUGCUGCACCCAAGGCUUGGGAUUUAAAGGGUCCCAUGAUCAAGUCUUGUGGUACCAAGGGGUGUUAGGAAUCUGGAGGCUUGGUGUGCUUGGCUGCUUAUGCCUGCGGGGAGUGUAGCCGAACCUUAAGUCCAGUCUAACCCGGGGAGGGGGAUUGGGAGAGAUUUGGGACUCAUUCGCCCCUUGAGAGUUGCACACCAUCAACACUGAAUCUCUUAGUAUCUGUGCACUUGGGACGUGCUUUCCCCAGUGAGUUGCCAAACUGGUACAAUCCGAAAACGUACGGGAGAGUGUUAUAAGAGAGUUUAGGGUAGACAUUCUUUGGAUGAUGUUAGUGCAGAGGUCAUGAAGGGAACCGCCAUGGAGAUGUGCUCCAGGUCGAGAUAGCUUCGUGUCGGCUGGAUAUGCAGUGGAAGUCGAGAUAGCUUUGUGUCGGCUGGAUAUGCAGUGGAAUGACUCCAGCAGUUGAAGCCUGGAGAAUCUUUUUGUGGUUGAGGAACUAUAUUUGUAAUGAAGAGCAAGAGUCCAAAUCUGCAUCAUUUAUGACAAAAAAUCAAUUAUAAUAGAAUUUGAUUACAAGCAAAAUGGUGAAAGGGCUGAAAGAAAAUCGAAACUACUACAAUGCUACUUUAUGCAAGUAGACUAGCAUAUCAUCAACCAUUUUAGGGUUGAUCAUUAUUUAACCAAAAAAGUUUGUAAAUAUAUUACUCACAAUCACUAAGUUAUAAAUUAAAAAUUGAUGAACAAUUAACCUGAAUAUUUAUUGAUGCUAAAGAUUGGACAAAACGAGAUCAGGACAAUAUAUUAUUUUUGUAUUAAAUUUUUCCAUUUGUAUCAACUUCUAAACUCAAGUUGUAUAAACUAUAACUUAAAAAUAGUUAUAAGUUUCCCACCUAAUUUCAUUUAACUCUAAAAUUCAUUGAGUUAAAUUAAAUUUUAGCAUUAUUGUUUAUCUUCUAUAUUUUAUAAAAUACAUUUAAAAUUCAGUAAGUGGUGUAAAAUACAGUUUAAUAUGUAAACACAUAUUAGGCAAUUCUACAAGGCACAAAACAAAAAUCCUCAGUUUAUAUUAACCAAAUAAAUAAGUAAUUUAUAUUUAAGUUAACAUAUAACUUAAUAAACUAAUAAAUAAAAAAUUUUAGUUUUUGAAUUAGAUAUUUGUAAGUUUUAAAACUAAAUCUGAUCUACAUUCCAUUCAAAUAUAUCAUAUCAAUAAAUAUUUUUCUAACACUAUUUUGUAUUGUUUCAAGUUGAAUAUAUCUAUAUUUGUAGACACAAAUAUUAAUCUUUUAGCACCUGAUUAUUGUUGAAUAUCCAAAUACUAAUUCAAACACUUUUAAAAGGAGCUUUAGGUCACCAAGGGUAGUAAUAUGCUUUUUGCAAGCUAGGAAUAAUAGAAAUUGUUACCGUCACACUUGAGAUCAUGAAAUGCAAAGAUCCUAUUUGGAAAAGGAUGUCUUUUGAAUUCAAUAACAUGCUUAUUAGCCAUCUUAAGACUUGAUAGCUUGCAGGGAUAAUAUUCCAAAUUAUUGACAGUAACCAUAAUUGUGCAGCUUCUUUUGGAUGUCAAUAGACAUGUCUUAGCCUGCCAAAAGAUCAAUAUAUAAGUUUGUUAAAAUUUUGCCUUCAACUCCACUUUCACUUGCUUUGUCAUGUUUGAAUGUAGACUUAGAUAAUUUUUUGUCCAAAAGUAGAACUUUGUUCAUGACAUCAAAGAACUAUAGUUUUUGGUAAAGUUGAGUGAGGAUGAUAUCUGACAAUAUUAUUGUGAUGAUCUUGCAAUAUUUAUAGACUCAAAAUGAUGGUAUAAUCUAGUUCAACAACCCAAUCAAUUUUAUGUUUAUGAUGUGCUAUAAGGUAUGUCUUUCCUUCACUUUAUAAGGGAUUAUUUAUAUUUUUUUUGUUUCUAUCCUUUAGUAAAGGUCAAGCAAGAUGUAUAUGAACUUGUGUAUAUGGAGAAGAGUUGGGAAGAGCUCUUGGCUGAGUUUUUAUAAAUUGAGUAUAAAAUUCAAUAUGUAAAGUCUUCAAAGUUGAAGACACUAGUAUGCAUUACAAACAAUCAUAGGCCAAAGGAGUAGCUAAAGAGUAUAGCUAAACUUUAUACUCAUAAAUAUAAAUUUCUUAUUAUGUGCUUCAUUUUUCUCAAUUACACAUAUUGCUUUUGUAGUGAACAAAACUUUAGAUGAUAUGAUUUACAAUAUCACAAAAUUGAUUUCCAUACAAAUAACAGAUAGAGACUCUAAAGUUCCCCAAUGUCUACUUGAUGAACAGAGAAAAAAGGCUGUCAUAAGUAUUUGAGAACAUGAUAAGCAGGGUUAUCUAUAUCAUGCAAAUUGUGAGCAGGGUCUUGGGAUAUUUAAUAUCAAAGAGUGGGGCUCUUGGGGAAAGUUGUAGUUCUCAAUUUCUCAUGAAAGUGUGAAUUUACAAGGAAGUGUGGUGGAUUGUAAGCAAUUAAAGAGAAUGACUUGAGAAAUAAUCUAUAAAGGUUCAAAUAUAAAGGGAAAACCCAUGAAUAAAAGUGCACCCUUUUUUCCAAUUGAUUAAAGGUCUUGGGUUAUUUGGAGUUAAAUGUCUUUAGGUUUGAAUAGUACUGGGCUAAGUGACCUCAUGGGAAGUUCAAAUUCAAUUCAAUGACGAUGCAAGUGACAAUGGAGAUGAGGAUAAGGAAAUUCCAAAUCAAACUCAUAUUCCACCACCUGAUAACCAGGAUCAAGCUCUAAUUUCACUACCAAAUGAUUAUAUGAUAGUAGGGUUUCUUAUUCAUAUAACUCUUCUAUAACUGAUAACAUAUCAAGGCAUUGUGGGUGUCUUCAUUGGCUCCUAUAGUAAAUUGCUGAUAUCUUUCACAAAAGACGACAUGAACAUGGAAAUACAACACUAGUUUGACCAUUAGUGCUAAAAGGUAUAAAAACCAUUGCAAACUUCAUUCUCUUCAACUUUCCAAAUAGUUUUCAAAUAUUGAUGGGAAAGUUGAGGACUAGAAACUUUCUCACACCUAACCACUUGUGUGAUAUAUUCUUCUUGUCAUAAACAUUUCUAUACGAAGUUGGCUAUAUAAUUUUUAUCUUACUAAAUGACCCCAACUGGAUGUAUGAGCUUAUGAUGUGUGUAGCAAAAGUUUAUUUCAAGUCAUUCUCCUCCAAAUGCAUCAUGGAUCCUAUUAACAUCAAUAUUAAGGGCAUUCAAAGUAAGUGAGUAAGUAUUUCAUAUUUUUAUUUAAUUUCUAAACUUUCUCAUUUUCCAAGUUAUGAUGUGAACUGUUGCAAAUAUGACUUUAGGUAUCAAAAGUUACCUGUUAGUUAAUCCUUGUGGAUGUUCUUUCCUUACUACCAUGAUAGCAAGAGGUCAAUAUUGUUGGACCCUUUUUUUUAAUCUCCGCCUAAGGUAGUUAGGAAAUUGGUCUUUGCAUAUGCACUUGACUAGAUGAGCAUCAGGACAGAAUUCCUAAGUGCUAUUAGUAAAAUAUAUUUGACUUAGUUAAAGAAACUCAUUCAUUGACUUGCACUUACUAGUGUUGGGAAACCCCUAUGAUAUUAAGCUUGGUCCCUCAAUAUUUGUCAGAUGAUAGUUUACCGUGUUUACCAAACACCCUUGCUAUCAUACACUUUGUGUUAAUACCAUUCAGUGAAACGUGUAUAUACAUUCCCCAAUGUCCUGUAGGGAUUAAUACAAAAACCAGGCAUGCUGCCCAAAGGUCAUGCUAUCUAGUGGAGAUCUCCUUCAUCUAAAGUGAGACUAAGCCUACAGUACAAGCGGCUACUGUUGCCUCCAUUGUAUCGCAUCCAGAUCUAAGUCCCCCCUUUGUGUUGACUGCAAGAUUGACUCCGGGGGGUGCCAUCUCCAAUGAACCUUAUUGUGGUCUCCUUCACCGAAACAUGGUAGCCAUGCUUUUUGCCACUCCUCGAGCCUCUCAAGCUUCCCCCUGUCUUGGAGGAUAGCAUGGUGAAGUCGUACUGCCCCCAAUGUAAGUCUCCACCAUUCUGCUAGUACCUGUGAUACUUUGACCUAUGUCCCGUCAAAGUGCACCCAGUUACGUGCUUCCCAAAGGGCUUGGACUCUCAUCACACGCCAUACCACCCAUCAAGCAUGGCCAAGUGCCUCCCACACGGGGACUCCUAUCUCCACCCCAGUCAUGUCCUAGUGGACCUGAAUCCCCCAACCGUGUCGUCCUUUGCACCUGAUGUGUUGCAGGGCUGGGCCCUAAGCAGGACCCCUCGCUCCCUCAAACCAGUGGAGCACAUCCCCACUGUGGGCCUCAAAAUCCUGUGUAAUGCCUAGCUCUUUCCCUACCUUAAUGAUCUGGCACCACACCUCCUUUGUAGUGUCGCACUCCCACAAUGCAUGCUUGACUGUCUCAAUUUCACCACACUCCUUGCACGUGCAACUCACGUCAUCCUGGAAUUGCUGUCCAACUGAGAGACCAUUAUUCGCUACCAACCAGGAGGUGACUUUCACUUUUUUCCUGCAUGGGCAGCUUCUAAAAGUGAAUUGUGUUGUCCACCACUUGCUCCGUGUCAACCCCCUGUGCUAUCCACUUUUGCCAUAGCUUUGGAAUCUCCUCUCUUGCCUCCUCCCAUGAUGUCAGUAGUCCAUUCCACGCUUCCUUGACCGCACAGGAGAAAAAGCUUCCCAUCCCUCGUCACCAUGUGGCAGGGUCCCAGUCCAGAUCUUCAAGCAGCUGCUGUCACCACCAUAUCAGUGGUCCAUCACCCUCUAGCAAGUCUUCUGAUUCCACCACGUCUAGCCUCUUGGGUGACUGCCUAAGCACACGAAUCCUCCCACAUACCUCAUUGUUCGUGACGUCUGGCAUCACUUGUCUCUCAGCCGUUGGGAGGAGCAUAUCUCCUCUUGUGACGCAAAAAGGCCAUCCUAUGUUGUGCUCUGGUGCAGUGACGAACCACACCUCGACAUCCCCUUCUUCCCAUGCUGGUGUAGGUGUAGUGAAUGAUUGAGUCCACUUCCCCAAUGGAUGUCGCACUGCAUCGUGCUCCUCCCACUAUGUUUGCUACUGAAUUGCCACAAAGUCCCCUGCUUUAAGGCAUCUUCUCGGCCACUUCGUCCCUGCUUUCGUGUCGUUCACCACCUGGAGGAGUCGCAGAACGUCUAGCAGGAUGUUGCAUCGCUUCCAAGGUCCAAAAACUUGAGUCCUUCUUGCUGUUCACCACCAAUCCCUGUCGAUCAUUCCCGCCAGUUGUUUCAUGGUCCAAAAGCCAUUUGCAUGCAUUUUUCUCCAGAUUGUGUGGUGAGUCUCUUGUCCCAGUGUCACACCUCCCACUUUGAACAGUGCAUUGAAAAACAGAGACUGGUUAAGCCACUCCUCGGCCCUGGUCGGUGGUACUUGCUCCAGCGGAAAGGCUUUCCACAGUCGGUGAAGGCUCUGGAUGAAGUUGCCCCCUUUCACUACUUGAGUUGGUCCUUUUACAAAGAGCCACCAUGGGUCCUCCUCCCAGGGUUUGGCUGCAUUGUGUUUGGGGUGUAUCGCUAGGAGGCUCUGCUAGAACAUGAGUCACCACGGCUGUCUCCCCUGUUGCAGUCCCAUAAGAAAAAUCUUGUACCUCAACACCUUCGCCAUGUCGCUGGGGUCAAUGAUCCCGAGCCCUCCUAGGAUGCACAGCCUCGCUGUAGACUGCCAUGCCACCUUGGCCAUGGUUUGCCCUGUAACCAAUGCUCCACGCCAUACGUAGGUUCGCACCAUCUAUCGCACCUUCUACAAUGUAGUUUCCAACACCGGCCAAAUCGAGAGGUGGUACCAGAUGUUAGGGAGGAUCAUGCCCUUGACUACUACGAUCCAAGCUGGGAGCCCAAGUUUCCUCAGUGUUCAUUUCUGAACUGCAGUCUAGAUCCUCCUGAGUAGUGUAUCAUCCUGUGUGGCCACACUGUACUGGACCCCAACCUGGAUGCUGAGGUACCGAGUGUCUUUGCCACUAAUAUCCUAUCUCUUGUCCCCAAGCCUCGAUGCCUGGCUUUCCCCAGUUCACUCCUACUAACUUGUUCCAGUUUAUAGCUACUCCCGCUGCCAUGUUGAAGAUCUUGAGCUUGGACCUUGCUGCGUCCAGGUUCCUUGGGGUGGCGAGCAGGAAAAGUGCAAUAUCAUCUGCAAAUGCCCCAUCCUACAACUCUUGUGUCACGACUUGAGUUCCCAGGAGUUGUAGUUGUUCAGAGGGCAGCACCAGGCCUUUUAUAUCCCCUCCAUGUACGAGGAAAGAGCCCAGUGUCUCUGCUACUAUCAAAAACAGGUAUAUGGGUAUGUAAUUAUCUUUUUUUUCUGCCAUCAAACAUCUUCUGUCUUGGGGAAUUGGAAGCUUGGCAAGGCCGCCUUGGGAGAGAACGUCAAGACACAGAUCGUACCUUCAACUUGAGCUCUUCAAGCUCUACGAAUUCGGUAAGCUUAAACUCUUGUAUUGCAGUUGUUUGUUGAUUUUUCUUUUUUGUAUAUAGAGGCCUGUCCCUUCUGUAGACGAGUGAGAGAAGCAUUGACAGAGCUCGAUCUUUCUGCCGAGGUAGUGUCUCGUGGAAGUUGCAGAUGGAAACUUUUUCAAUCUUUGUGUAGGUGUAUCCGUGCCCAAAAGGAUCUCGAGUCCAUCGUGCGUUUGUGAAAGCGUCUGGAGGCAAAGAGCAGUAAGUGAUACACUCUUGUCUGCAACAGAUUCUCAUCGAAUAUGACAGGUUUCCAUUUCUCUUGGAUCCAAACACCGGCGUGUCAAUGGAUGAGAGCUGUGAGUAAUUUUUCUUUUCAUCACAAUCAGCUUGCAUGAAUGCCUCUGGCAGCCGAUAUUGUCAACUACUUGUUCCAGGAAUAUGGUGAGAGAAGAAGGCCAACAUUCGGGAUUUUAGAAAGGUAACAAGUUUUACUGAAGUGUAAACUCUUCGGUAUUUCAUCAUAAUGUGUUCCAGCACCUUUAGUCACUGGCUGGGUUCCGACGAUAAUACGAGCAGGGCGAGGCAUGUCAUUGUGGAAUGGAGCAUUGCCAGAUCCUCCACAGAAGCUCCUUGAGCUCUACUCAAACGAGAACAACCAGAUAAAGCGCUGUGUUUUCAAAGAAUUCUAAAAGUUUUUUGGUAGUUUGCAAGGCUCGUAAGAGAAGCCCUGUGCGAGCUGGAACUUCCUUACAUCCUCUGGAACAUGGGCAAAGGGUCACUUAAUUGCUCCAAGCUCAAGCAAAUUUCGGGUUCAACACAGGUAACCUUUUGAUCUAUUUUUCCCUUCAUUAUCAUUGUCAAGAACAGGUUCCAUAUCUGGUUGAUCCCAACACCGGCAUACAAAUGGCAGAGUCUCUUGACAUAAUCCGCUAUCUCUUCGCUAACUAUAAUUCGAAGUGAUGUUGAUGGAGAGUUUCCUUGGAUUGAUCAGCUAUCAUCGUGUUUGGUACUAAUAGUGUAUCGAGCUUUACUCCCAAGAACAGCAUAGGAAAUGGCAGUUGCUACCAUCAGCAAACGGAGGUACCAGCUAAACCGCAGUGUUCCCACAACUAUGGACUGGUUGGCUUUCUAGAACGUACGAAGGAGUGUACGGGGUGAUCUGGACUAGAGAGAGAAAGAGUUUAGGGUAGGCAUUCCUUUUGUACCCCAUUUUCAAGAAAAGAGGCAUUUGGCGCAUCACCUGGUCGCUUUUCUGCUACCGCCGGGAACGAGCUCAAGGUUGGGAGGUAUGGGUUAUGAUGUGGGGAUCGUUCGUGAUUUGGGGUCGUGUCCUUCUUGGUAGGAAGAGAGGAAAUUCUGCUUCGCAUGCAUCCAGGAUGUCCCUGGGGGGAGGGUGUGAUGUCCUGGACUGAGAAAACCCAAAACCAUGGCUGGGACAGCAGUUCUUGGGCAGAAUUUGAGAGCCUUGCAUGCGCACACAGUGGCUAUCAUCCUGUUUAAGUCUUUCUUUCUUGACUUCUCGACUCACUGACCAAACUUUUUGUGACGAGGUUUGAAGUUCUGGAGAGCAAGGACGAGCUUGAUCUCAUUGGACAACAACCACCAGAAUCGCUGCGGCAGUUUAACCAGCGCUUUCAGUCUUAUAUUCGUAAAUUCGUCUUGUGUGGCGACUUGAUACGGCUGUGCAUCACUUUGCCAAGUUCCAGCCUUCUUGGAUUGGUCCUUAUCAGGUACUUUCUCGUGCUGGCACUAAUUCGUAUUGGCUAGCAGAGUUGACGGGCAGGAAACCACCGAAGCCAAUCAAUGGAGUUGAUCUCAAACGGUAUUUCUUUUGACUGGUACAGUUCACGUUUCGUUUCUAUUCUUUUAAUGCUGUGAGUGUCUUUGCGAGAACUAUUUUGUUACUCACAGGCCCGAACCUGAUUCGGGAGCAGGACACUGUCUCCUGGGAUAAGUUCUGUCCCAUUCGCGAUGCGGAGACAGCUUGUUGAGGGGCACGAUCCUGUGGUACGUAAUGCCUCUCUCUCCCCUGUCUCUUGAGGUUUCCGAUCGUCACAGUUCUGAGGUGCAUUCUUUGUCUCAAAUCGCUGAGAAUGUUAAUCUGCAUUUCCUUGCUUUCUGUCAUAACUGUUACAUUUGAACUGCUUUCUAUGUUUUCUUGUUCCGUGGUCUCGUUCGUCUAGUUGUGGCCUGUCGUUAACAAUCUUUCACUGGGGAUGGCCAAAGCGCUUGGUCUCUCUGGCGUUGGAAAGUUUCAUGGCGGUUGGUUCUCGUCGACAGUUGGCCAAGUCGCUUGGUCCUUUCGGCUUGUCAAUCGACUGCCUAUGACGGGCUGCUUCAAGGAUGGAUGAGACACGAGAAAUUCAUGUGUGAUGCCUUUCUGUGCUUAUUGUCUUUCUUUCAUACCAUUGCCUCGAAGCUUGAACAUGGAUGCUACCUCAGAAUCUUUGACUUUGGACCUCCAAUCACUUGGGAUUGAGACUCAUUCGCCCCUUGAGAGUGCACUCCAUCAACACUGAAUCUCUUAGUAUCUGCGCACUUGGGACGUGCUUUCCCCAGUCAGUCGCCAAAUACGAAACGUACGGGAGAGUGUUAUAAGAGGGUAGACAUUCUUUGGAUGAUGUUAGUGCAUAGGUCAUGAAGGGAACCGCCAUGGAGAUGUGCUCCAGGUCGAGAUAGCUUCGUGUCGGCUGGAUAUGCAGUGGAAUAACUCCAGCACUGCCAAGGAAGAGAACAUAGAAUUCAGGUGGUUUUACAACAAACCUGGAGAAUCGCUCAGGUUUUUUGUGGUUGAAGAACUACAUUUGUAAUGAAGAGCAAGAGUGAGGCAUGCAAUCCAUGACCUAGGUCAAUCUGCUGAAAUUUAAGUUGAACCUAAGUUGCAAAGAUUGCAGGAAAUUUCACUAAAGCAUAAAAUAGUGAUAAAGUCAUCUCUUAUCUGUAAAUUGUUUUUUAAGUUUUGCCAUCUUGAGUUUAAGUAUCAGGUGUUGAGUAGGAUUGAUGCUAAUCUACCGUCAAGCAUACAACCUUUUACAUAUUUAUCUAAAUAUUUAUUUCGAAAUAUUUCUGAUAUGUAGAUGAUAAAAGAAAAUUUAAAAAUUUUAAAUAUAUUUAUUCAAAAUGAAAGUAAUAAAAUACUUUAGUUUUAUAUUAUUUUAAAAAAUUAUAAGUUAAAUUUUUAGUUUAAUAUAAAAUAAUGGUAACAUGAAGAACAACAAUAUUUUCUAAAUUUUGUAAUAUACUUCUUGUUUGCAUCCUUUUUAAAAAUAUAUAUACUUAUUUAUCAGUUUUGAUAUAAAAAACUUGAUCUUGUAAAUCCAUGUAAUAACUAUAAUUAAGAUAAGGUUAUUGCUAAUGGCAAUCCCCUUGCACCAUUUAUGAUAAAAAAUAAAUCUCAAUAGAGUUUGAUUACAAGAAAAUGAUGAAAAGGAAACACAAAAGGAAGUUAAGCAAUAUAAAUUAUAACUAAACUUAAUUCAAUUUAUAAAUAUUGAUUAUUAAGGUUAAAAAUUGUCAAUGUUGUGCCAUUUCUAGCCUCCUGAUAAGAGUUGUAUCACCAUGUUUGUGUAUAAGUGAUAUAAUCUUAACAAUUGCUCAAUGUGGCCAUCUUCCAAUUGCUAUCAUAUUAUUCCAUAUGUGUAAUAACUCUGCCCCAAUCCAAUCCUAAUGUUUUUAAUUCAAGGGUUUGUUUUAAAUAGCUAUUAAUAAUAUUUCAUUAUCUUAUGCAUUUUUUGGAGGCUUAUGUGCAUCAUAUCAUAAUCAUCCAUAAAAGAGAUGUAUUGACUUGUAAAAUUCCUUAUAGAACAAGUUUUCACUAAUAAACCUUUUUAAAUAUCUAAAUUUAAUUAAUGCCUCCAUUUUUUCUGCUUCUAAAGUAAACAAUUACUCCUUUAUUUUUGAUAGUUAGGUUUAAAAUGUAGAACUUUUUAAUUGUUGCUUGAUCAAUAUUUUGAUAGCUUUUAUAUCCCUUUUAAUGACUUAUAUUUUAUUAGAUCUUCUCCUUCACUUAGUCUAUGUUUUUUUCAUGGAGCUCACUGGUUAUUUUAACCAUGAAUUUGUUAACUUCCUAGCUUUCUUUUAUACAAUAAAUAGUGUAUGUGUUUUCAAAGUGUUUUUUUGAUAAUGUAGGCUUCUUGAUUCCACAUCUUUAAGGAUUAAUAUUGUUAACAAAACAGUGAUCCAAGAAGUCUUUAUACUCUAUAGAAAUAUUUAGUUUCUCAUUAUUAUGACAUAAAUUUGGUGACAAAUAAAAAUGUUUUAUUUUUCUUUGAUAAAAUUAAAAUCUCCAGUAACAAUCAAUGUUGAAGGUUACAAAGGGAGCUCCUUUAAGAUCUCUUGAAAAAAACAACCCCUCUCUAAUGAAUAACUUACCAAUGCGUAUACAUUUAGAGAGCAUUAGUCAUAUAUUUGAUUUUAAAUUAAACACAUUACACUUGAUCCCAGAACCAAUAUUAUGUCUAUUAUAAAGUAACUCCCACAAACUUUAACCAUUACUAGCAUCCCCCUACUACAUUCUAUUGUCAAGUUCCAAAAGUUUUUUUUUUUUUGCAAACUUAUACACUAAAUUCACACUUGAAAGACAAUGCUUUUGCAUACAUAAAAAAUCAUUUGUGAUAUUCCUUAUGAUGUUAAUAGAAUUAUCAUACAUACUUACUAUCACGAAACUCGUUAUGCAUGUUUUUGUAAAAGGCAUGAUAUGUCCAUGUAACACACGUGGUUUUCACCCUUUAUUUUAUGGUGAUUUACCAUAGGAUAACCACAAAGUGGAAUCUAAACCCUCCAUAUGCCAUAUGCCAUAUAUCACAUAUCCAAUGGACAGCAAAGUGGAACUCGAGUUUUAAGGCCACUCAUUGGGCCACUGAAUGAAGAUACGGAGCUAAACUCCCAAACUUGCAGCUGGGUCUAAGUCCAAGUUCCAUACCAUGUUAAUUAGUAAAUACCCAUAUCUUUAUGUUAGACCACUGGUAUAUUGAAAUAGUGUCAAACUUUAUUUGGGUCCGUUUUGCAUGCUAGUCUUGGUAUUAGAAUGUUGAAUGCUCUAAGACUGUUUCUACAUCACUCCAUACUCCUGUCUCUUCACUUUUUGGGCUGAAUGUUCAAAAAUCACACCAUACUCCAGUUCUUUCACUCAUUAAGUUGGAUGCAGAACAAAGAUACGCAUGCAAAUAAGAGUUAAAUUAUGCCUUAAGUUAGUCGGCCAUGCCUGACUUACCCACUAUCCCUACUAUAUAUUUGGAAACUUUGAUAGCCCCCCCUCCUUGAGGAACAUAUGCUUUGGGCUUUCAACUUUAACUACCCUUAGUACUAGGAGUUAGUCUCUAGAACUAACUUGAAACUUAUUAAAUAUGGAAUGUCUCUAGAUUGUAAAUAUGAAUACGAGACCAACACUAUUGUGGUUAGAAUAAUCUUUACAUUCCGUAGAUAUGCCAAAUAAGUAGAUCUAGACACUUUCUAUAAAUAGCAUUUGGAACCAAAUGGUACUAACAGAAGGCAUAUGAUAGUGAGGGUGUUUGGCAGACACGGUAAAUUAUCAUUUGGCAAAUAUUGAGAGACUAAGAAAAAUUUUACGAGGGUUCCCAACAUUAGUAAGUGCAAGUCAAUGAAUGAGUUUCUCUAACCAAGUCAAGUAUGUUUGACUAAUAGCACUUAGGAAUUCCAUCCUGAUGCUCAUCUGGUCAAGUGCAUACGUAAAGACUAGUUUCUUAAUUAGCUUAGGCGAAGACUGAAAAAAAAGGUUUAGCAAUACUGCUUGCCGUCGUGGCAAUAAAGAAAGAAUAUCCAAAAAAACUAGCCGAUAGAUAACUUUUAAUACCUGAAGUCACUUUCGCGACAGUCCACAUCAUAACUUGGAAAAUGAGAAAGUUUAGAAAUUAGAUAAAAUAUGAAAUACCUACUCAUCUUUUUAGGCUUACUUUGAAUGCCCCUAAUAUCGAUGCUAAUAGGAUCCAUGGUGCAUUCGAAGGAAAAUGACUUGAAAUAAACUUUUGCUACAUACAUCAUAAGCUCAUACAUCCAGUUGGGGUCGUUUAGUAAGAUAAAAAUGACAUAGUUAACUUCGAGUAAAAAUGUUUAUAACAAGAAGAAUAUAUCACACAUGUGGUCGAGUGUGAGAAAGUUUCUAGUCCUUGACUUUCCUAUCAAUAUUUGAAGACUAUUUGGAAAGUUGAAGAGAAUGAAAUUUGCAAGGGCUUUUAUAUCUUUCAACACUAAUGGUCGAACUAGUGUUGUAUUUCUAUGUUCAUGUCUUCUUUUGUGAAAGAUGUCAGCAAUUUACUAUAGAAGCCAAUGAAGACACCCAUAAUGCCUCGAUGUGUUAUUGGGAAAACAAGACAAACCUAUAGAAGAGUCAUAUGAAUAAAAAAGCUACCAUCUUAUGAUUGUUUGGUAGUGAAAUUAGAGCUUGAUCUUGGUUAUCAAAUGGUGGAAUAUGAGUUUGAUUCAGAGCUUCUUUAUCCUCAUCUCCAUCAUCACUACAUCAUCAUUAAAUUUGAACUUCUCAUAAGGUCACUCAACCCAAUACUAUUUAAACCCAAAGAAGUUUAACCCCCAAAUAGCCUACCAAUUGGAAAAAACAGUGCCCUUUAUAUUUGAACCUUUAUAAAUCAUUUCUCAAAUUAGUUUACAAUCUACCACAUUUCCUUGCAAAUUCACGCCCUCCUGAAAAGUUGAGAACCACAACUCUCCCUGAGAGCCCCAUUUUUUGAUAUUAAAUAUCCCAAUACCCUACUCACAAAUUGCGUGAUAUAGAUAACCCUCUUUAUCAUGUUCUCAAAUACUUUUGACAGUUUUUUCUCUCUGUUCAUCAAGUAGAUAUUGAGGAAUGCUAGAGUCUCUAUUUGUUUUUUGUAUGGAAAUUAAUUUUGGGAUAUUGUAAAUCAUAUCAUCUAGAGUUUUAUUCACUACAAAAGUAAUAUGUGUAAUUGAGAAAAAUGAAGCAUAAAAAAUUUAUAUUUGUGAGUAUAAAGUUUAGCUAUACUCUCUAGCCACUCUUUCAACUUGUGAUUGUCUGUAAUGCAUAUUAGUUUCUUAACCUUUGAAGACUUUACAUAUUGAUUUCUAUACUUAAUUUGUAAAAACUCAGCCAAGAGCUCUUCUUGACUCUUCUCCAGAUACACAAGUUCAUAUACAUCUUGCUUGACCUUUACUAAAGAAUAGAAACUAGAAAAAUAAAAAUAAAGUGAAGGAAAGAUAUAUCUUAUAGCACACCAUAAGCAUAAAAUUGAUUGGGUUGUUGAACCAGAUCAUACUAUCAUUUCAAGUCUAUGAGUGCUGAACAAGUGUUGCAAGAUCAUCACAAUAAUAUUGUCAGAUAUCAUCCUCACUCUGUCAAGACCCCCAACAAAAUCAAGACUCGAAAAUGCAGAAGACAAAGAGAAAAGCUAGUGAAAACGAAAAAAAAACCUUAAACUGGCGUUGAUUCAAAUUGUGGAGAAAUGGAACAAGGCUAACCUAUAUAUACUAUAGGUUGAUGAAGUUCCACCACUCUUGGAUCGGAGACGGCCUAAAUAUAGCUAAGGUCGAGGAGGCACCACGUCAUCAUCAAGAAUGUGGCUCGAGAUUUAGGAAUCGUACAGGAAAUCAGAGAGUCAGGAAUAGGGAAGUGUCUUGAAAGUCAAGAAUAUGGUCUGUAGGUCAGGAAUCCAGUGAGAGUCAGGAAUGUGGCAAGAAUUGGGGGAUUCCUGACAGCACCCCCUCCUCAAGAACGAGUGGAACGAGGACAUGAAUGAGAACGAAGAGGAGGAUGAGAUGGGCGGCGAGGGAUAGAAGAUGGAGAAAAAGAAUGAGGACUGGGAUGAGAAAGAUAGUGGUGGUGGAAGUCCUGAACAAGUCAGGAGAAUGAAUUAGGUUGUCCGCAGGUUCCCAAGUGCAUUUCUCAAGUCCAUAACCCUUCCAAUCUACCAGAUAGUAGAGGUUAGACCGUGAGAUCUUGGAAUCAAGGAUGUCUUGAACCUCGUACUCACACCCAUCCUCGAGCUGCACUGGUGGAGGCGGAGGAAUGACCCAAUUUGGUAUAGGACUGGGAAUAUAAAGCUCAAGGAGAGAGGAGUAAAAAACGGGGUGAAUUUGAUAUGAGGAAGGAAGUGCAAGGCAAUAAGUGAUAGGAUUAAUGAUGGCAGUGAUAGGGAAAGGACCGAGGCAUUUGAAAUUAAGUUUGGGACAUGGCCUAGUGGUGGACAUAUUUCACCUGAGGAGCCAGACUUUAUCCUCGAUAUUGUAAGGGGGACAAUCUUGACGAUGGACAUUGGCAAAUGUUUUGUGAGAUUCCUAAGCACGAUGGAGGUGGAAGGAGAUGGAGUUGUGGAUUUCCUAGAGGUUGGAGAUAAAUGCCUCAGAGCGGGGAUUUGAACGAGAGGAUUCGGAUGGAAAAGGAAGUGAGAGAUUGAAUUGGGGAUUUCGGCUAGAGUUCGCAAAGAAGGGGGAAACUUGAAGGGAGGAGUGAACAGAAUUGUUAUAGGAGAACUCAGCAAGGGGAAGGAUAUCGAAUCAGUCAUCCUGAUGAUAGUUGAUAAAGCCCCUCAAGAAUUGUUUCAAUGUCUGAAUUGUUCACUCAGACUGUCCAUCACUUUGAGGAUGAUACGCCGAAGAGAGGUUGGCCUUCACUCCAAGAAACUGCAAGAACCAUUGCCAGAAAUGAGAGACAAACUGAUGUCCCCGAUCCGAAACCACAUCUACAGGAAUCCCAUGAAGUUGGAAAAUUUCCCUGAAUACCAGUUUUGCCAUGUCCUUGCCCGAAAACUCCUUGGUACACGGCAGGAAGUGUGCCAUCUUUGUGAAGCGAUUCACCACGACUAAAAUGCUGUUGAAGCCUCCAUAACUCGGAAGAUCACUCAAGAAAUCCAUGGAGAUGGAUUCUCAAGGACCUAAAGGGACCGGGAGGGAACGAAGCAAACCUGAAGGAAGGUGGCAAGGUACCUUAUUCCGGGUGCAAGUGUCACAGGAGGUAACAAAAGCUUUGAUGUAGUCAUCCAUGUGAGGCCACCAAAAGUCCUGUGCAACCAGCUCAUAGGUUUUCACAAUGCCGAAGUGACCAGUAAUCGGGCUAUUUUGGCACGCCAUCAGGACCAACCUUCGAGCAUCACCUUCAGGAACGUAAAGCUGCUCCCCACGGUACAACAAGCCAUCUAAGAACUUGAACUCGUCAAAUCGCUGGUAGUUGGGAGUCACUGGGUAUCCAGCUUGAAGAUGGGGGAAAAUGUCGCUGGUGAGGUCGUUGGAUUGAAGAUUGUUUCUGAUCGCAUCCAUCAAGGAGGAGUCCUGAGGGACCAGGGAAAUUGCCAUAACUUGAAGCCGAUUAGGACUAAGGAUAACCUAAUCCUGUUGAUUGAAGGCAAGAUUACAAGGCCUGAGACUGAGAUAGGUGCGCCUUAAAAGAGCAUCAGGAAGGCCUUGAAGCUUUCCAGGUCUGUAUUUGAUAAUAAAGUCAAAUUGACUUAGGAAUUGUGCCCACCUUGCCUGACAACAGCUCAAAACUCGGGAAGUGGCAAAGUACUCGAGAUUUUUAUGAUCUGUCCAGGCCAUUGUUUGAUGGCUUGCCCCCUCCAAGAAACGACGCCACUCUCCAAAGGAAUCCACGAUGGCAAGGAGCUCCUUAUUGUGGAUUUCGUAAUUGAUCUCCGCAAGCUAGAAUUUCUGAGAAUAAAAAGCGAUCGGAUGAAAUUCCUGAUCUGCUCUGAGUUGAGACAACACAGCACCGAUGGCAAAAUUGGAAGUGUCAGCCUCGAUAAAGAAAGGUUGUGAGGGAUCAGUGUGGAUCAAGACGGGAGCAGAAUUGAAGGCCACCUUGAGUGUGUCGAAGGUUUGCUAGGCAGCAGUAAACCAAGAGAAGGGAACAUCCUUGUGAGUGAGAUGCGUGAGAGGAAGGACAAUGUCAGAGUAGUGAUCAAUGAAUUUGCAGUAAAAGUUGGCAAAGCCAAGGAAAACCUGAACGUCCGACAUUGAUUGUGGAGGCUCCCAUUCAAGAAUAGUUUUGACUUUGGCAAGAUCCAUCAUGAUACCUUUAGAAGUGACAAUGUACCCAAGGAACUCCACAGACUCCUGAUCGAAAGAACAUUUCUCAAGCUUUGCAUAUAGGCCAUGUUCCCACAGCUUCACCAGCACCUUGUGCACAUACUCGUCGUGCUCCUCUUGAGUUUUUGAGUAGAUGAGGAUGUCGUCGAGGUAGACAAUCACCAUCUGAUCAAGAAACUCCCGAAAGACGUUGUUCACCAUGUGUUGGAAAACUGCUGGAGCAUUUAUCAAGCCAAAUGGCAUGACAGUGUACUCGAAGUGGCCAUGGCGAGUUUGGAAUGCAGUUUUCCAUUCGUCGCUAGGCCGGAUUUGGAUUAGGUUGUAUGCUCCACGGAGGUCGAUCUUGGUGAAGAAGCGGGCACCACCGAGGUGUUCUAACAGGUCCGAGAUCAAGGGCAACAGAUAACGGUUCCGAAUAGUCAGCAUGUUCAAACCUCAGUAGUCGAUGACUAGCUACAAACUCCCAUCCUUCUUCUUGACAAAGAAGACAAGCACUCCAGUCGGGGAGUACGAAUGCUAAAUGUACCCCGAGGCAAGAUUCUCAUCCACAUACCCUUUGAGGGCCUUAAGCUCGGACGGAAAUAACCCUUAGAUAAGCCCCCACGGAGGUGAUGCUCCUUCCUAUAAAUCAAUGGGACAGUCAUAAGGUUAACGAACAAGCAGUGCACUAGCUUUUUUCUUGUCAAACACAUCCCCAAAAUCAUGAUACUUCUCAGGAAGACUGACAAGAGAAACAUGCAAAGCAAAAAGGAAAACAAGUUCUUCAUGAAGGAGUUCUUUCAUAGUGAUUGUGGAGAUAGGAGGAGGCGUACGACUAAAUGGAAUGAUGAGACGAGGAUACUGUCUAGUGUAAGAUGGAAGAGAGGGAAAAGAAGAGGGUGAAAACUUCAUAGAGUCAGGAACAGAACCUCAAUUUGAGUUGAGGGAACUUUUUUUGAGUUGGACUCGAUGAACAGUAGGGGAAGCUGUGGGAGAUGGUGACAUGGGAGAGACGAGCUGUAAUUCCUUCCAACAUAUCUGAGGUUGGUGUAGUUGGAACCAAGGAAGGCCAAGCACCAUAGAGGAGGACUUGCUGUUGAUGAUGUUGAAGGUGAUAUCGGUGACGGUGGACCUGAUGUGUACUCAAACGGGCAACGUUUCCCUAAGGCCAGAAGAUGGAGACACAAAAUGUCUGCCGAUGCCUUCAACCCUCAGAUCCUGUAUGGUAGGAGAAAGAGGAACAUGAUGUCGGGCAGCAAAGUUUAUGUCCAUGAAGCAGGAAGUUGCAGCCGAGUCCAGUAGCACCAGAGCCUUGAGUCCUGAUUGUUCGGUGAAAGAAAGGAGACAUAGGAUGAGGAAGUUGCGGGAAUUGGUGGUGGCUUUGAUGAAAGGUGGUGAGGAGCUUGAUAAAGAAGAAAAGUGAUUUUUAUUCGGGGAGUCCAAAUAGACAGCUCCUAUUCUGUUUGGACAGGGUCGUUUCCCAACUACAAUAGAGGUGGACCUUGAUGCAGAGUGAACUCGAGCAGUCGGGGAGGCUUCUUGGGACACACAGCUGCUUUGUGAUUAGGAUCAACAUAAUAGAGGCAAAGAUUAUGAGAUAUUCGACAUUGCUUCUCAGUAGGACUCAACUUCCCUUUGUUGAGUCGGGGAGUACCAGAAAUAUCCAUUGGGACCGGAGUAGUAGGUUUGGGAGUAUGCCCCGAAGACUCAAGCUGGGAUUUCUAAAUCUGGGAUGGGAAAACGGCGGUGCGGCAACUUUCUUGACGACGUUCAAAGAGACGAUUGUCACAUCAGCUCUAGAACCGCGACCCCUUUCAUGCUCUUCUCUAGGAGAGGAGAAAACCAUGACAAAGCUGCACAUCGAGCAACGUCCCGAUCACACCGAUUUGAGACUUGGGAGUGGGGUACCGCUGAUGUUGAAGUGCGAAAAUCAGCUCCAUCUGGUUUAGGAAUCCGUGAAGCUCUGAACACUUGCUUGAAAAUUUCGCCGGGAAACUCACCUUCGGUUCAAGAACUUUGCUGGGUCCUUGAGCCGAAAGUGAAGCAAGCUCCUGCUGCAUGCAAAGAAGGGUUGCCUUCAGCUCAGUAUUCUUAGAUUGGAUUUUUGUAAGGACUUCGGCAAGAAAUCAGGACAGCUUGAAGACUCCAUCGGCAAAGAAGAAAGAAAAAGGGGGAAAAAGACAAAGACAAUCAAACAAUCAAAAUGAGCUAAAGCAAAAAUGAAAAAAACAAUCUGAAUUAAAUUGUCGAGACCCCCAACAAAAUCAAGACUGGAAAAUGCAGAAGACAAAGAGAAAAGCUAGUGGAAAUGAAGAAAAGGCUUUAUACUAAUGUUGAUUCAGAUUGUGGAGAAAUGGAACAAGGCUAACCUAUAUAUACUAUAGGUUGAUGAAGCUCCACCACUCUUGGAUCGAAGACAGCCUAAAUAUAGCUAAGGUCGAGGAGGCACCACAUCAUCAGGAAUGUGGCUUGAGAUUCAAGAAUUAUACGGGAAAUUAGAGAGUCAAGAAUAGGGAAGUGUCUCGAGAGUCAAGAAUGUGGUCUGCAGGUCAGGAAUCUGGUGAGAGUCAGGAAUGUGGCAAGAAUUGGGGGAUUCCUGACACACUCAACUCUACCAAAAAUUAGAGUUGUUUUAUAUCAUGAACAAAGUUCUACUUUUGGACAGAAAAUUAUCUAAAUCUACAUUUAAAUAUGACAAAGCAAGUGAAAGUGGAGUUGAAAGAAAUUUUUUAACAAACCUUGCAUUGAUCUUUUGGCAGGCCAAGAUAGAUCUAUUGAUAUCCAAAGGAAGCUACAUACUUAUGGUUACUGUUAAUAAUUUGGAAUAUUAUCCCCACAAAUUAUUAAGUUUCAGAAUGUCUAAUAAGCAUAUUAUUGAAUUCAAAGGUCUUCUUCCUUUAAAUAGGAUCGCUGCAUUUCACGAUCUUGAGUGUGACGGUAAUGAUCUCUAUUAUUCCUAGCUUGCAAAGAGAAUAUUACUACCUUUAUGCUUUAUUUCGUUAAAGUGGAACUUUUCAUUAUCCCACUUAUGGUGUGUGGCCACAUGCCAUUUUUAUAACAACAAUAAAAAAUUGAAGUUUUAGCUUUAUAAUUUAUAAAUUAAAAAUUUUUCAUAUGAUUUUGUGUUAUAAUAUUGUGAAAUAUAAAAAAUAAAUUAAAAAACUGAUAGAAAUAUUAAUAAAUAUUAAUUAAGUACUAGGAAAUGGCAUGUGGACACAUGCUAAUUAAUGUCCCACUUUACUGAAUAAGUUCCACUUUAACGAAAUAGAGCAUCUUUAGUGACCUAAAGCUCCUUUUAAAAAUGUUUGAAUUAGUAUUUGGAUAUUAAAUGAAAUAUCUAAAUAAUCAGGUGCUAAAAGAUUAAUAUUUGUGCCUAUAAAUAUACAUGCAUUCAACUUGAAUCAAUACAAAAUACUGUUAGCAAAAUAUUUAUUGAUAUGAUAUAUUUGAAUGGAAUGUAGAUCAGAUUUAGUUUUAAAACUUACAAAUAUAUAAUUAAAAAACUAAAUUUUUUAUUUAUAAAUUUUAAUUAUUAGUUUAUUAAGUUAUAUGUUAACUUAUUUAUAAAUGACUUAUUUAUUUGGUUAAUAUAAACUGAGGAUUUUUGUUUUGUGCCUUGUAGCAAUUGCCUAAUAUGUGUUUAUAUAUUAAAUUGUAUUUUAUACCACUUACUGAGUUUUAAAUGUAUUUUAUAAAAUAUAGAAGAUAAACAAUAAUGCUAAAAUUAAAUAACUAGAGUUAAAUGAGAUUAGAUGGGAAACCUAAUACAAGGAAAGUUUAUUUAUUAAGUAUUUUUAAGUUAUAGUUUAUACAACUUGAGUUUAGAAGUUGAUACAAAUGAAAAAAAUUAAUACAAAAAUAAUAUAUUGUCUUGAUCUCGUUUUAUCCAAUCUUUAGCAUCAAUAUCCAUAAAUUCAAGUUAAUCAUUCAUCAAUUUUUAAUUUAGUUAGGACUUAUAUUCUUUUUCUUCCUUCAGCCCUCUCACCAUUUUGCUUGUAAUCAAAUUAUAUUAUAAUUGAUUUUUUGUCAUAAAUGGUGCAGAUUUGGAUUCAUGCUCUUCAUUACAAAUAUAGUUCUUCCACCACAAAAAGAUUCUCUAGGCUUUUGCAAAACCAACUGCUGGAGUCAUUCCACUGCAUAUCCAAUAGAUAUGAAGCUAUUUCGACCUGGAGCACAUUUCUAUGCUCUUGUCCCUUCACUCCUUGGGCUAAAUGCUCAAGAGUCAUUCUAUGCUCUAAUUCUUUUGUUCCUUGGCUUUAAAUUUGGGAGUUAGGCUCUGUCCUUUCAUUUAGUGGCCCAAGGCCCUAAAACUCAAGUUCUAAUCCACUAUCCCUAGACACAUGGUACAUGGCAUGUGGUAUAUAAAAGGAUAAGUUCUGCUUUGUGGUUAUCCUAUGGUAAAUCACUAUAGAAUAAAGGCUGAAAAUCAUGUAUGCUAUACUCACUGUUCAUAGUAGUGUUCACCACCACCACUAUUAAUUUAAAGCUUGAAUGCCUAUCCACUAAAUUUUACUAACCUUUGAUACUUCUUCAUUAUGUAACUAUACCUUUGGUCACUAAACAAAAGAAUUAUUCCUUUUGCUUUCCAUAAUUUAAAACUUUAGAAUGAUAAUUCGAAAUAUUGCAACUCAAUGUGAGUCUCAUGUGCAUGGGUACUCCUAACCAUGUGGCUAAAGCAAGUUUCUAAUGAACCAUACAAGACAAUGCCACUCAUACUUGAAUUAGGAACAUUAAUCAUUUGAUCUUUCACAACUAUUAAAUACUUCAUCAAAUCACCCCAUUUAUUUAUCCAUAUUCAUUUUACCCUUGGACUCUUUAAUAAUUAUAUCAUUUUCCACCACAUGUCUUCCUUAGUCAUAUUAACCUUUUUUAGCCUCACUAAUUCCACUUUGUAGGGAUUUAUUAAACCUGGAGAAAAUCGGUUUAGGCUUUCACCCUUGGAUUUAGUCUUGGUUUCAGUCUCAGUCUUGGUCUUGUCCUUAGUCUUAGUUUCAAUCUCAAUCUCGCUCUCGGAUUUGAAUUUGAAUUUGGACUCCCUCUCAAACCUAUUCUCAACCUUCAUUUCUCAGACUUAAUUUUGGACUCGGUCUCAGACUCAGUAUCAGACUUGAAAUCAGUCUUAAACUCAGUCUUAGACUAAGUCUCAGAUUUGGUUUUGACACUUUUAUGUCUUAUAACAUUUACCAUGUGUUAGUUUUUUUGCAUUUUGUUUUAAAGACUUACUUCAUCAAUCACUUUAUGCUCAUNNNNNNNNNNNNNNNNNNNNNNNNNNNNNNNNNNNNNNNNNNNNNNNNNNNNNNNNNNNNNNNNNNNNNNNNNNNNNNNNNNNNNNNNNNNNNNNNNNNNAAUGAUUGGGAGUCGAGGUUAGUGUCUCGCAUUUGUGCGCUCAACUUCAAGUUCUUCAGUAGUGCCAUGUUUCUAAGGCUGUCAAGAUCUAGGGGUGAAGGGCUGCCUGUCAAGCUGGAUUUACUAUUGUGGGAUUGAUGUUACUCAUACAAGCCGGAUCCACAGGUCAAUUAUUUUGAAGCUAGAUUUUAUGCUAGAGGAGUGGCCAAUUGAGUGAAGCUGCAAUCUUUUGAAAGAAGAGAUUGAAAGUUUGAAGAAAGUAGGUUUCAAGCUAAAGACUUCCUUAAAUAUUGUUGUUAAUACUGCUAUGCCACCAAUAUCAACACUAGAUUAGCAUACACGAUCAGCUAGGAAUGGAAAGGUUGUACAAUAUAAGUCUUUCAUUUCAAAAGGUGCACAAGAAAAGAUUAAGUUAGCAAAAGAGUUGAAGUGCACAAUCCCAAAGACAAAUUACAUUAAUGUUGUGGCUAAGGAGUUUGUUGUUGUGACUGAGUUGUCAAAGGGUACGAGCUACAUUAUCAAAAAUCUGCAAAAAUCCAUCUUAUACCUGUCCAAAUUUUACACUGAGGGAGAAUAAGAGAAAGGUAUAUUUAGCCUACAAGCACAUCUAUUACAUUUUUAUGCAAGAAUUAAACCAAGAUUCUAAGAUUGACCAUCACAUCCAUCAAGUAAGCUUUACAGUUGUGAAGCUUGAGAAGUGUUUUUAAAUUGCUUUUAGUGUUCGGAUCUAUAUUUAUAUUUGUAUUUUAUUGGUCAAAUUUACUUGGAAAUAUAGAUUAAAUCAAAAUUUGAAAAAUAAAAAAAUGUUAGUUUGGGACGAACCAAUGUUUUUCUUGUGUUUGAGAAACCAUGAGCUCAUGAGCUCAAAACCUACCCAAGCUUAAGCUGAUCUCUCUAUAGAACUUGUUCACAGAGAUCCACGUAAGGUAGGUGCACUAGAAGUUGGCACCUUGCUCUAUAUCGAGUUUCCAUGGAGGUUGAGAUAACCAAGGUUUGUGCACUUAUCCAAUGGAGGAACUUCAUUGCUGAGUUUGUUGUCACUCAAGUCAAAUAUCUCUAGAUGAUCCAGCUGACUAAAUCCUCUUCAAAUGCUACCUGAUAUGUUGUUAUAGUUGAGAUGCAAUCGCUGGAGAGUCUUCAUCUAUGUGAUCGAAUGUGGAAUGGGCUUCCUUUUUCAGCUAUGGGUAUGUAAUUAUCUUUUUUUUCUGCCAUCAAACAUCUUCUGUCUUGGGGAAUUGCAAGCUUGGCAAGGCCGCCUUGGGAGAGAAUGUCAAGACACAGAUCGUAUCUUCAACUUGAGCUCUUCAAGCUUUACGAAUUCGGUAAGCUUAAACUCUCGUAUUGCAGUUGUUUGUUGAUUUUUCUUGUUUGUAUAUAGAGGCCUGUCCCUUCUGUAGACGAGUGAGAGAAGCACGAUCUUUCUGCCGAGGUAGUGUCUCGCGGAAGUUGCAGAUGGAAACUUUUUCAAUUUUUGUGUAGUUGUAUCCGUGCCCCAAAGGAUCUCGAGUCCAUCGUGCGUUUGUGAAAUCGUCUGGAGGCAAAGAGCAGUAAGUGAUACACUCUUGUCUGUAACAAAUUCUCAUCGAAUAUGACAGGUUUUCAUUUGUCUUGGAUCCAAACACCGGCGUGUCAAUGUACGAGAGCUGUGAGUAACUUUCUCGUUUUCUUUCCAUCACAAUCAGCUUGCAUGAAUGCCUCUGGCAGCCGAUAUUGUCAACUACUUGUUCCAGGAAUAUGGUGAGAGAAGCAAGCCAACAUUCGGGAUUUUAGAAAGGUAAGAAGUUUUAUUGAAGUGUAAACUCUUCGGUAUUUCAUCAUAGUGUGUUCCAGCACUUUAGUCACUGGCUGGGUGCCGACAAUAAUAUGAGCAGGGGGAGGCAUGUCACUGUGGAAUGGAGCAUUGCCAAAUCCUCCACAGAAGCUACUUGAGCUCUACUUGAACAACCAGGUAAAGCACUUUGUUUUCAAAGAAUUCUAAAAGUUUUUGGUAGUUUGCAAGGCUCGGAAGCGAAGUCCUGUGCGAGCUGGAACUUCCUUACAUCCUCUGGAACACGGGCAAAGGGUAACUUAAUUGCUCCAAGCUCAAGCAAAUCUCAGGUUCAACACAGGUAACCUUUUGGUCUAUUUUUUCCCUUCAUUAUCAUUGUCAAGAACAGGUUCCACUAGUUGAUCCCAACACUGGCAUACAAAUAGUCCGCUAUCUCUUCGCUAACUAUAAUUCGAACCGAUGUUGAUGCAGAUUUUCCUAUCAGCUAUCAUCAUGUUCACUCCAUUGAGUGGUACUAAUAGUGUAUCGCACUUUUCUCCCAAGAACAGGGAAAUGGCAGUUGCUACCAUCAGCAAACGGAGGUACCAGCUAAACAGCAGUGUUCCCACAACUAUGGACUGGUUGGCUUUCUAGAACGUACGAUACGGGGUGAUCUGUACUAGAGAGAGAAAGUGUUUAGGGUAGGCAUUCUUUUUGUACCCCAUUUUCAAGAAAUGAGGCAUUUGGCGCAUCUUUUCUGCUACCGCCGGGAACGAGCUCAAGGUUGCGAGGUAUGGGUCAUGAUGUGGGGAUCGUUCGUGAUUUGGGGUCGUGUCCUUCUUGGUAGGAAGAGAGGAAAUUCUGCUUCGCAUGCAUCCAGGAUGCCCCUGGGGGGAGGGUGUGAUGUCCUGGACUGAGAAAACAAAACGAUGGCUGGGACAGCAGUGCUUGGGCAGAAUUUGAGAGCUUUGGAUGCGCACACAGUGGCUAUCAUCCCUGGACACAUUGAUGAAAGGAAAGUGUUAGGUCUUUCUUUCUUGACUUCUCGACUCACUGACCAAACUUUUUGUGACGAGGUUUGAAGUUCUGGAGAGCAAGG